AUUGAACGCUGGCGGCAGGCCUAACACAUGCAAGUCGAGCGAGCGGCGGACGGGUGAGUAAUGUAUGGGGAUCUGCCCGAUGGAGGGGGAUAACUACUGGAAACGGUGGCUAAUACCGCAUACUAUCGGAUGAACCCAUAUGGGAUUAGCUAGUAGGUGGGGUAAAGGUUGCCCUAGGCGACGAUCUCUAGCUGGUCUGAGAGGAUGAUCAGCAACACUGGGACUGAGACACGGUCCAGACUCCUCCGGUAGGCAGCGUGGGGGAAUAUGGCACAAUGGGCGCAAGCCGGAUGCAGCCAUGCCGGGUGUGUGAAGAAGGCCUUAGGGUUGUAAAGUACUUUCAGCGGGGAGGCGUUACCCGCAGAAGAAGCACCGGCUAACUCCGUGCCAGCAGCCGCGGUAAUUC
rnacentral:rRNA from 1 species